AAUAAACACAAAUACAGAGCCCCUACUAAUUAAGACUAAUAAAAUCAUUCGAAACCGACGUUUCUUAACGUAAAUGGCAAAAUACUUGAUGGUUGGUACCCGAGGUUUCAAAUUUGAAUACUAAUUGAUUCACAGUUUCAGCUAAAUUUAUUUCUAAAGAAAAAUAAACAAAGCAAGUAACAUGCUAUCUAUCUCUCUCUCAAAAAAAAAAAAAAAAU
rnacentral:lncRNA from 1 species